UACGGGGGGUGCAAGCGUUGUUCGGAAUUACUGGGCGUAAAGGGCGCGUAGGCGGCCUUCUAAGUCAGACGUGAAAUCCCCAGGCUUAACUUGGGAACUGCGUCUGAUACUGGGAGGCUUGAGUGCGGGAGAGGGAUGUGGAAUUCCAGGUGUAGCGGUGAAAUGCGUAGAUAUCUGGAGGAACACCGGUGGCGAAGGCGGCAUCCUGGACCGACACUGACGCUGAGGCGCGAAAGCUAGGGGAGCAAACGGG
rnacentral:rRNA from 1 species